rnacentral:rRNA from 1 species
UACGGGGGGGGCAAGCGUUGUUCGGAAUUACUGGGCGUAAAGGGCGCGUAGGCGGCCUGCUAAGUCGAACGUGAAAUCCCCGGGCUCAACCCUGGGACGGCCUUCGAUACUGGGAGCCUGGAGAUCGGGAGAGGUGAGUGGAAUUCCGAGUGUAGAGGUGAAAUUCGUAGAUAUUCGGAAGGAACACCAGAAGCGAAGGCGGCUCACUGGCCCGAGACUGACGCUGAGGCGCGAAAGCGUGGGGAGCAACAGG